AAUUAGUAAAUGAUCUGUGCAGUCGUUGCCUUGGAUUGUGUGGAAUAAAGUGACAAAAAAGACAUUAAAAUUUAAGGGGGUGCGCUUGAAGCGACAGGACGGCGAACUCUGCUAAUACGGCUGGGUACGCGGCGAACAACAUAAGUUACGCGGGAGCACACGCUCCCGACACGGGCAAGCACAACCCCCUGCAAGGGACCAUAGGAUACAGAGUCAACGCGCAUAACGGGUAUGGGUGGCUCGGCGGGGCG